GGCUUAUUAUCUUAGUUGGUUAGAGUCUUGUGCUAGAAACCUAAAAGUCAUAUGUUCAAAUUCUUAUUUGGGCCA
rnacentral:tRNA from 1 species